CAGACCAGGGUCUGUAUCGACCCAGAGCUGGACUGAGGGGUUUUAUACAGACCAGGGUCUGUACCGACCCAGAGCUGGACUGAGGAGGUUUUAUACAGACCAGGGUCUGUAUCGACCCCGAGCUGGACUGAGGAGGUUUUAUACAGACCAGGGUCUGUACCGACCCAGAGCUGGACUGAGGAGGUUUUAUACAGACCAGGGUCUGUGAUCAACCAAGAUGGACUGAGGAGGUUUUAUACAGACCAGGAUCUGUACCGACCCCGAGCUGGACUGAGGAGGUUUUAUACAGACCAGGGUCUGUACCGACCCCGAGCUGGACUGAGGAGGUUUUAUACAGACCAGGGUCUGUACCGACCCCGAGCUGGACUGAGGAGGUUUUAUACAGACCAGGGUCUGUACCGACCCCGAGCUGGACUGAGGAGGUUUUAUACAGACCAGGGUCUGUACUGAGCUGGACUGAGGAGGUUUUAUACAGACCAGGGUCUGUACCGACCCCGAGCUGGACUGAGGAGGUUUUAUACAGACCAGGGUCUGUGAUCAACCAAGAUGGACUGAGGAGGUUUUAUACAGACCAGGAUCUGUACCGACCCAGAACUGAACUGAGGAGGUUUUAUACAGACCAGGGUCUGUACCGACCCAGAGCUGGACUGAGGAGGUUUUAUACAGACCAGGGUCUGUACCGACCCAGAGCUGGACUGAGGAGGUUUUAUACAGACCAGGGUCUGUGAUCAACCAAGAUGGACUGAGGAGGUUUUAUACAGACCAGGGUCUGUACCGACCCAGAACUGGACUGAGGAGGUUUUAUACAGACCAGGGUCUGUACCGACCCCGAGCUGCACUGAGGAGGUUUUAUACAGACCAGGGUCUGUACCGACCCCGAGCUGGACUGAGGAGGUUUUAUACAGACCAGGGUCUGUACCGAGCUGGACUGAGGAGGUUUUAUACAGACCAGGGUCUGUAUCAACCCCGAGCUGGACUGAGGAGGUUUUAUACAGACCAGGGUCUGUACCGACCCCGAGCUGGACUGAGGAGGUUUUAUACAGACCAGGGUCUGUAUCGACCCAGAGCUGGACUGAGGGGUUUUAUACAGACCAGGGUCUGUACCGAGCUGGACUGAGGAGGUUUUAUACAGACCAGGAUCUGUACCGACCCAGAACUGGACUGAGGAGGUUUUAUACAGACCAGGGUCUGUAUCGACCCAGAGCUGGACUGAGGAGGUUUUAUACAGACCAGGGUCUGUACCGACCCAGAACUGGACUGAGGAGGUUUUAUACAGACCAGGGUCUGUACCGACCCAGAGCUGGACUGAGGAGGUUUUAUACAGACCAGGGUCUGUGAUCAACCAAGAUGGACUGAGGAGGUUUUAUACAGACCAGGAUCUGUACCGACCCAGAACUGGACUGAGGAGGUUUUAUACAGACCAGGGUCUGUACCGACCCAGAGCUGGACUGAGGAGGUUUUAUACAGACCAGGGUCUGUGAUCAACCAAGAUGGACUGAGGAGGUUUUAUACAGACCAGGAUCUGUACCGAGCUGGACUGAGGAGGUUUUAUACAGACCAGGGUCUGUACCGACCCAGAGCUGGACUGAGGAGGUUUUAUACAGACCAGGGUGUGUACCGAGCUGGACUGAGGAGGUUUUAUACAGACCAGGGUCUGUAUCAACCCCGAGCUGGACUGAGGAGGUUUGAUACAGACCAGGGUCUGUACCGACCCAGAGCUGGACUGAGGAGGUUCUAUACCUGGUCUGUGUUCAACCAAGAUGGAAGAGGAACGACUCAAACAUCCGAAUCUUAGUGCCAAGGUUACCGUGGAAACAGAGGAGGGGAACUGAUUUGUCUAAGUAACUAAUAUUAAAACAUUAAAAAAAUAAGUGUUAUGUAAAGUUGUUAUUGUCUAUUUGUUGGAGCGUAAACAGAGAAACACCAGAUGGGACGAUGUGCGUUGUUGUCCUGUCAGGAGUGGAUUGAUUGAUUGAUUGAUUGAUUGAUUGAUUGAUUGAUUGAUU
rnacentral:lncRNA from 1 species